UUCUGACACUAGGUCAUAAUAGGCAGUGCUACCUCUGCCUUGUUCUUUUGGAUCACUUGGUCUGCGGGGAGCCAGGCACCUCGUCAUGACGUUACUUGAGCAGUCCUGCGGAGAGGCCCAAGGAGAGGAGAACCAACUUGCUGGCACCACCUUGUCAACCAUUUGUUCGGUAAAACAGACCAUGGCAGUUCAAAACCGGAUGGGAUGCUUCUAGAACAAGAUUAUCCAGGGCUAUCUUCUUUAGAGUUUCCAGAGAGAGCAGGAGAGCACAGCAGCAGAGGAAAGAGGGAGAAGCAGACGUCCCGCUGAGCAGGGAGCCCGAUGUGGGACUCGAUCCCAGGACCCUGGUAUCAUGACCUGAGCCCAAGUGCCCCCGCAGAUGCUCUUGCUCCAAAGCUGUGUCUUGGUAAGUGGAAUCACACUUGCAAACACCUCCAAAUAACAGUCUCCAGGAGUAUAGGUUUUUAGAUGAAAAACUGAUGUCUGCGUAUGAAGAUGCUAUUGCUUCUCAGACAGUUGCCCACGUGUAGCUGAAAACAAACACAAACAAAACCCUUGCCUGUGACUUGUAGUCCUCCUCUGUUGGUUUGUGACUCUAGCCACAGCUUCCCGAGGGUUGACAGUUUAAGCUCCUCUGCUUUGCUUCAGAGAAUGCCGAAUAGCUCUGCUUAGAGGCAGCCACCCUGCCUCUCACAGCUCCGUCAGGAGUGUCGGUGGGCUGCCCGGCUGUGCGGCCAACUGCAGCAGGUCCUUGGUGGUGCCUCCAGCCUGGGAGUUGCAAUCCUUGAAUCCUUCCAGUAUGCCCUCUGUUCUGUCUCCCUCCUGGAGCUCUUAUCACCGGGAGCCCAGCUUCCCCAUUCCAUUUCGAAGAUCUCCUUCCUUCAAAAUGAGCUCUUGGGCGUCAGAAUAUAUGACAAGCCUUCUCCUGGACCAUAGGGAGGAAAUCGAUGGCCUCCUCUCUUCUUGUCUCUUCUCCAGCCCAUUGCCAGGGAUGUUCUAAGCAUGCUGGGUCACAUCCCACUAUUGUGAGCUUUGAGCUAGGCACAGAGUAAGUCCUUUCAAUGCAAGCUGGGCAAUCUUCCCUAUUUAUUUGACUUUUCAGGAAUGCGAUUAGAUUGACAGUCUCUUAAGAGGUGCUCAUGGGAAAUGUCUUUCUAACAAAGUUUGGGUUGCAAUGCUUCCUUUUCCUUUUUUGGUUCCGUUCUCCUUCUUUCCUCCUUGCUCCCUUCCUCUUUUCCCUUUUUAUCCACUCCUUCUCUUUCUCUUUCUCUUUUUCUCUUUCUUCUUCAAAUAUACAAUACUGACUUCUCUCUUCCAUCCAGCCCCUUUGGCUCUUUGUCACGGUUCUUCCUGAUCACCAACAUUUUCUGUUCCAGGAGAUCUAUCAAAGUCUCUGCAGGGCAGAGGUCCUCUCAAGACUCUUGGUACUGCAUCUAUGGGAAGCCCAUCCUUGGUGCAGGUGAUAUCCUUGAACUGUCAGUAAUGAAUACAAAACAGAGACGCUGUCUUUCAAAUUCAGGAAACCUCUGAGCACUCUAUGAUUGAAAUGAAGAAUGACAACUGCUGAAUAGCCAGGCUUCCAUCCAAAGCCUUCCAGGAUACGGCCCCCAUCUACCUUUUUAAACCUGUUGCCCUCUGCCUAAUCAAUGGAGCCUCUACUCCACCCUCGCUCAUUUGUAAAUGCAACUUACUCAUCUCAGACUCACUGCCUUUUUUCAGUACUUGGUUCUGUUUCCUUCUGCCCAGAAUUAUUUUCCUCUUCUUCCCAGCCAAGCCGAAUGUUCUCACCCAUCAAUCACCAGACCCACAACUCACUCCUUCCACAAAGCCUUCUUUGACUGUUCUGGCCCAUGAGGUGCCUUCCUUUUGGACUGUUGUAGUAUUUAUGAUUCAAGCCCUCUUUCCAGGCUGUUGUCUGCAGCAGAAAUGUUCCCAAGAAGAGUCUCCCA